rnacentral:rRNA from 1 species
UACGUAGGCAGCGAGCGUUGUUCGGAGUUACUGGGCGUAAAGGGUGUGUAGGCGGUUGUUUAAGUUUGGUGUGAAAUCUCCCGGCUCAACUGGGAGGGUGCGCCGAAUACUGAGCGACUAGAGUGCGGGAGAGGAAAGUGGAAUUCCUGGUGUAGCGGUGAAAUGCGUAGAUAUCAGGAGGAACACCGGUGGUGUAGACGGCUUUCUGGACCGUAACUGACGCUGAGACACGAAAGCGUGGGUAGCAAGCAGG